ensembl:lncRNA
UAUUCACUAGCUCAUCAACUGCCUGGCUUGGUUUUUGCUUUCUUCUCCUUUUCUUUUCCUUUCUUUUAUCUCUCCUUUCCUUCCAUUUUUUUUUUAAAGAUAUGAGUAUGUGUUUCAGAGAAACAAAUACUUUCAUAUCUUCUUGAAAUUCUGUAUGAGUUUCUUGUAGCUGCUGUAGCAAAUUACUACAAACUCGGAGGCUGAAAUCAACUGGAAUACACUUUCUCCUUUCUGGAGGGCAGAAGUCUGAAAUCAGUACCUUCUGCUGGAAAUGGAGGUGUCCGCAGGUUGAUGGAAAGGAAAGAAAGAGCAACUCUAAAGGAGAGAGAAGAUAGUUCAGCCUUUCCUUGCCUGUUAAUUCCUUCCCGAAUGGAGGCAGAUUCUUUAUCACUGAGCCACCCGGAAGCCCAUGACUACAUCAGAGGCCCCUGCAAGUUUAUAACAUGGAGAACUACAUUCCACUGAAUGAAAACCAGAGAGCAGAACCAGACACACAGAGCACAAUUAAAGGCCUUCCGA